GGAUGAACGCUGGCGGUACGUCUGACGCAUGCNAGUCGAACGGGAUCCAGAGCUUCGGUUCUGGUGAGAGUGGCAAACGGCUGAGUAACACGUAGGGACCUACCCCCCGGACUGGGAUAACCCCGCGAAAGCGGGGCUAAUACCGGAUAACACCUUCGGGUUGAAACGCUCCGGUGCCGGAGGAGGGGCCUGCGGCCUAUUAGCUUGUUGGUGGGGUAACGGCCUACCAAGGCAAUGAUGGGUAGGUGGUCUGAGAGGACGAUCACCCAGACUGGAACUGAGACACGGCCCAGACUCCUACGGGAGGCAGCAGCUCAGAAUCUUGCGCAAUGGGCGAAAGCCUGACGCAGCGAUACCGCGUGAGGGAAGAAGGCCUUCGGGUUGUAAACCUCUGUCUGGGGGGAAGAAUAAUGACGGUACCCCCAAAGGAAGCCUCGGCUAACUACGUGCCAGCAGCCGCGGUAAAACGUANGAGGCAAGCGUUAUCCGGAAUUACUGGGCGUAAAGCGUUCGUAGGCGGCUCCGUGUGUCGGAGGUGAAAUCCCCGGGCUCAACCCGGGAACUGCCUUCGAAACUGCGGGGCUAGAGCACAUCAGAGGGUGAUGGAAUUCCCGGUGUAGCGGUAAAAUGCUUAGAUAUCGGGAGGAACACCAGUGGCGAAGGCGGUCACCUGGGGUGUUGCUGACGCUGAGGAACGAAAGCCAGGGUAGCGAACGGGAUUAGAUACCCCGGUAGUCCUGGCUGUAAACGAUGGGCACUGGGUGCUGGGAGAUUCGACCCUUUCAGUGCCGCAGCUAACGCAUUAAGUGCCCCGCCUGGGGAGUACGACCGCAAGGUUAAAACUCAAAGGAAUUGACGGGUCCCCGCACAAGCGGUGGAGCAUGUGGUUUAAUUCGAUGCAACGCGAAGAACCUUACCUGGACUUGACAUCCCGCUGAAAGCUUGUGGAAACACGAGCCCUCCUUCGGGACAGCGGAGACAGGUGGUGCAUGGCUGUCGUCAGCUCGUGCCGUGAGGUGUUGGAUUAAGUUCCGCAACGAGCGCAACCCUCGCCGUUAGUUGCCAUCAUUUAGUUGGGCACUCUAGCGGGACUGCCGGUGUCAAGCCGGAGGAAGGUGGGGACGAGGUCAAGUCAUCAUGCCCCUUACGUCCAGGGCAACACACGUGCUACAAUGGUCCGUACAACGGGUUGCCACCUGGCAACAGGCAGCGAAUCCCUAAAAGCGGGCCUCAGUUCGGAUUGGAGGCUGCAACUCGCCUCCAUGAAGUUGGAAUCGCUAGUAACCGUGGAUCAGCAUGCCGCGGUGAAUACGUUCCCGGGGAUUGUACACACCGCCCGUCACACCACGAAAGUCGGUAACACCCGAAGUCGCCGGGCUAACCCCGGAGGAAACAAAGAGGAAGCAGGUGCCGAAGGUGGGAUUGACGAUUGGGGUGAAGU
rnacentral:rRNA from 1 species